UGUGAGCCGUAUACGUCAGUCGGAUAUUAAAUUAUAUCUUUGUCUUAUUAUCAUUAUUUAGUGGUAACAUAAUCUAGUUACAAUAUAUGUAUAUUUUUUUGUUAAAGUUUACCAAGAAACAUAUUUACUUCCUAGAAUUUUUAGUUCCUUGUGCGGUCUUAAGGGGGAAAUUAUUUUUUAAUACAUCCAUGAUAUAUAUGUUAUGAAGGUCAUUCACGUUGUUAUGUCAUUAAUUACGGGCGCUAAUAUGUACUAUUUAAAACAAUUAAAACAAGAUACUAUUUAUAUUCUACACAAGAGGAUGUAAAUUUCAUACAAUAAAAAUGCAUUGGACAGAUAAGAUCGUGUUUUUUGUUUCAUAUGUGAGUUUAUUAAACGGGAUUUAUGCCGCAACACCUUCAAGCUGUUCUGAUAUUCGUGUAGUAGACCUAUCUCAUGUACAUGGACCCAAACCUCUCACUGCUCCAUUCUUUCCAGCAUACAGUUUUGAAAUUGUAAACAGAUCUAUCAGCCAGGCACUUGGGGGUAAUUGGUUUGAGACUAACUAUAUUGGUACAUCUGAACACAGUGGAACCCACAUAGAUGCUCCUUCUCACUUCUACAGAAACAGAAAACGCAUGCACGAGAUUCCACUGGACAAGUUAUAUGGGCCUGGAGUUAUAAUAGAUAUUAGGAGACAGGUUUCGGGAAACGUGAAUUACAGAGUAAAAGUAUCGGACAUAAAACGAUGGGAGGCAACUCAUGGCCGAAUACCGAAGGGGGCAGUCAUUCUGUUUAAUUCCGGCUGGUCUAGUAGAUACCCAGAUCCAUUUAAAGUGUUCAAUACUCAAAACACUUCUGAUGUUUCAUCAUACCAAUUUCCAUCCUAUGAAUUCAAAGCAAUUACAUUUUUAGCGAAAUUUCGUUCUGUUAACAUUGUGGGAAGUGACACUCCGUCUAUUGGCGACUCACCUCCGGGUAAAGUUGAUUUGUCAAAUUUUACAUUUCUAUUUCAAAGAAACAUACCUGUGGUGUUGAAUGUUGCCAAUCUUGACAGACUCCCUCUUUCAGGAUCGACAAUAUUUGUCCCUGCUAUCAACAUAUACGAUGGAAGUGGUGCACCGGCCAGAAUUUUUGCAACAGUUCCAGCGUCAAAAAUGAAAAAUAUAUAUUAAAUAAAACGUAAUGAUUAACAUUAAAAUUUUGUACAAUGAUUAACAUUUAAAAUCGUUUCCUUUUGUUGACUUAAUUUGCCAUUAAAACUUUUUUUAUU